rnacentral:rRNA from 1 species
AUUGAACGCUCGCGGCAGGCCUAACACAUGCAAGUCGCGCGAGCGGCGGACGGGUGAGUAAUAUAUGGGGACUGCCCGAUAGAGGGGGAUAACUACUGGAACCGGUAGCUAAUACCGCUUACGAUCGGAUAACCCAUAUGGGAUUAACUAGUUGGUGAGGUAAGGGAUCACCAAGGCGACGAUCCCUAGCUGGGCUGAGAGGAUGAUCAGCAAAACUGGGACCUAGACACGGCCCAGAAUCCUACGGAGGAAGCAGUGGGUAAAAUUGCACAAUUGGCGCAAGCCUGAUGCAGCCAUGCCGCGUGUAUGAAGAAGGCCUUAGGGUUGUAAAGUUCUUUCGGUAGCGAGGCGUUAACUAAAGAAGAAGCACCGGCUAACUCCGUGCCAGCCGCAGCGGUAAUUC